rnacentral:rRNA from 1 species
AGUGAACGCUGGCGGUAGGCCUAACACAUGCAAGUCGAACGGCAGCACAGAGGAGCUUGCUCCUUGGGUGGCGAGUGGCGGACGGGUGGGGAAUACAUCGGAAUCUACUCUGUCGUGGGGGAUAACGUAGGGAAACUUACGCUAAUACCGCAUACGACCUACGGGUGAAAGCAGGGGAUCUUCGGACCUUGCGCGAUUGAAUGAGCCGAUGUCGGAUUAGCUAGUUGGCGGGGUAAAGGCCCACCAAGGCGACGAUCCGUAGAUGGUCUGAGAGGAUGAUCAGCCACACUGGAACUGAGACACGGUCCGGACUCCUACGGGAGGCAGCAGUGGGGAAUAUUGGACAAUGGGCGCAAGCCUGAUCCAGCCAUACCGCGUGGGUGAAGAAGGCCUUCGGGUUGUAAAGCCCUUUUGUUGGGAAAGAAAUCCAUCUGGUUAAUACCCGGGUGGGAUGACGGUACCCAAAGAAUAAGCACCGGCUAACUUCGUGCCAGCCGCCGCAGUAA